AAUAUUUUUCCCAAUCCAUUGAUCUUUUAUCUUGUUGACUGUAUUAUUUGCUGUGCAGGAAGCUUAAUUGCUAUAUUUUUGUCUUGCAUUUACAGUUUCAUGUCCUACAUUUAAGCCUUUAGUGCAUUUUGAGUUGUUUUCUGUGUAUGGCUUAAGAUAAGAUUCUAAUUUAAUUCUUUUGUAUAUGAAUAGCCAAUUUUCCCAAUAUCGUUUAUUGAAGAGACUAUCCUUUUUCCAUUGUAUAUUUUUGGCAUCCUUGUUGAAGACUAGCUGACUGGAUAUAGGAGCUCAGUCUGGGAAGAAGGAAGCCAACCUGAAGGCAUUACACAACUGCAGGUUUAAACGGAAAUGUUCAAGAUCCAGAAGCCAGUAACAUCGAAUGUGCAAAUUGAUUCUUCAGCCUGAAAUUAUUUUAUAUAAUAAUGAAUGGAGUAACAAAAUUUGGCCCAAAUUUAUUUCUGAUUCUAUAGUUAGUCAGAACCUACUAAGUGGUAGACAGUGAGGAAAACAAAAAUUUGAAAAAGUCUGUUUCUGCCCUCAAGAUGCUUACAGGUAGACUUUGUACAACUCCAAUACAAGUCAGCCUAUGAUAGUAUAAUAUUAAAACAUAAAUAUAUAACAUGAAAGUAUAAACAUGGCACAAGAACAUUGAAAAGUCAUUCUACUUGGAGGCAUGGGCGUUUGGAGUUUCAGAGAAAGCUGAAAUGAGAAGGUGGCAUUUGAGUGGUUUUAAAAAGCACAUAGUAAUUUGGGAAGAAAGAUAAUGUGGGAGCAACGUAAGCAAAAAAUAAAAUAAAAUAAAGGUGUGAAAAUACAUGAUAGAUUCAAGGAAUUAUGAGCAGUCUCACAUUUUGAUAUGGCUACAUAAACGAUGGUCAUAACCUUUGAAAGCAAUUGAUAAAUAUCCUAAACACCAUGUUCAUAAUGAGUUUGGAGUUUGGACUUUUAUCUGGUGGGCAAUGGAAAGUAAUAGAAGUAUUUUAGGCAAAGUCAUGGCAUAAUCAGAUCUGUGUUUGGGGAAAAAUCAACUGCACUCUCCAAUAUGGUAGUGAUGAGCUGCUUGUGGCUAUUUAAACCUAAAUUUAAGUUAAUUAAAUUUAAAUAAAAUCAAAAACUCAGUUCCUAAGUUGUAGUAGCCACAAUUUAAGUGCUCAGGGCAGAUAUAGAGCAUUUUUGUCAUUGUAGAAAGUUCUAUUAAACAGUGCAUAUGUAGAGAAUGGACCAGCGACAUCAGGCAUUAGAGGGAAUAAAACUAAUUAAGGGGCGAGUAUUUUCACAGUCACCCCAAAAGAUAAUGAAGCCCUGCUAUAGGAGGAGUGGUAAUGGGAAUAGAAACUGAGUAGACAGAGGCAAAAUCAAUUUAUAACUUAAAGGUGAUUGGGGGCUAAUAGUGAAAUUUAAUUCAUAUGCCUAUCCUCUUUAAGAGUACUUAUUUAAGAAACAGAUAUAAGAUUCAGAACAAAAUAUUUUCUAAAUUACUAAAAUAGGGGAAUUGGGAAAUGUGGCUUUAAUCUGGUGUCACAAUCAUAUUUUUAAUGCCUGUAUUCUAAUUCUAUAUUUUGGAAGCUGCAAGAAAAAAAAUUGCAAAUCUAGGGGAGUGUGGUAGGUAACCUCCGUGGUGGUCCCCAGUGAUUCUUCCUUCAUGGUAUCCACACUUGCUUAGCCCUCUUCCUCUUUGAAUAGAGCUGACCUGUGUAACCAGUAAAAUGUCAUGGAAAUAAUUGUGUUAAUUCUAAUCUGGCAAAGUCAGAAUGGACGUUAAAGCUUCCAUUUUUCUCCUGCUUGGAUCAAUCACUCUUGUGGAAGCCAGCCAUAUAGCAAGGCCACUCAGCCCUAAGGAGAAACUGACAUGGCAAGAAGGCCCCCACCAGCAACAACUAUGAACUUAACCAGCAUGUGUAAACUCCAAGGAGUUGGAAACAGAUUCCCCAGCCCCAGCCAAGCCUUCAGAUGACUGCAGCCCUGGCUGACAUCUUGACUGUAAUCUUAUGAUAAACACUGAAACAGAAUAUGAGCCAAGAUACCUAGUUAAGCUAUCCCUAUAAUUCUGACCCCAUAUAAACCGUGUAAUAUUAUAAAUGUUUAUUGUUUUAAACUGCUAAGUUGUGGAGUAAAUUUUUUGCACCAAUAGAUGUAGGGAGUUGUUUCUUAGACAGCUGAUCCUUCAUCCAAAGAUGUAAGGAAACAAGACAGACAUCUACAUGACUUUUGACCGUAUUCAUUCCAUACAGUCAAGAUAUGUGGACCAGUGAACUUUAAAAUUUCACUAUUCACAUUGCUGCAAUAAGUCAGCCCUCUCAUGAAGACCUUAGGUAUGAAGUUUGCUAGUAUAUUCUAAGAGAAAUCUCUUAUAGAAGCAUGAGAACAACUUCCUAAACAUCAGUGACCGGUUAUAGAACAUAAGACAGAGCAAUGAGUCUAAGAUGACUUUGGAUAAAGCCUACACUGAGACAGAGAUGGGCUUUGCAAUGGAGCUUCUGUUGAGUUUCCUUUUUCAUAUUCAAGCAAAGAAUGUGGAAGAAGUGUAGUGCACAUUUCAGGAACUUUGGAUUAUAAGCUUAUUAUCAUUUUGACUUCUGCUCAUGUAUUUGCUUUAAUCAUAUUUUAUAUUUCUAACCAGAGUAUCAGUUACAGACAUAUUAUUUUCAUUAAUUUACUCAAAACAUUUAAUUUAAUGUUAGAAAUGCUUGAGAAACAUUGUCACAAUUUUGCUUCCUCUUACUAUAACAGAUAUUUGCUUUAAUUAGUUUUUACUUUGAUUGUACAAACUUAGUGCCAAAAGCACAUAGCAGUUGAUAUGUCAUUGGAAUAGAAUAUAAAUUCUAGUAAUAAAAAUAAUAAAAGAAUUUAAAAAUCACAUCAUAGACAUUUCAAGUGAAGUUAUUAUAAACCAAGGACUUCAAUAGCAACCAUUCCUGGAGCCCCUGUGUUAAAUUUUUUCCUUUAAACUAGCAUCAUUUAAUUCUCUGAAAGAAAAUUUAAUUUUGGGUUUCUGUUACAAUGAUAAUCUAGAAAAUUAAGACAUGCAUACAUUGAAUCAUAUAGCUGACCAUGUUAACCUGAGUGUGGCCACUCAAGUUCAAUUCCCAUGUUUGUACGUGUCUACAGUCCCAUUGACACUAACUGAAGGCCAAAUAAUGUUGCAGUUUGCCAUAUAAAUUUUUAAAAAUAACAAUAUUUUGAACGUAGAAAAGUGAUGAGAGG
rnacentral:lncRNA from 10 species